rnacentral:sRNA from 1 species
AAAGAGACCCGAGGGGAAAAUUGCCCCCUC